GACGAACGCUGGCGGCGUGCUUAACACAUGCAAGUCGAACGGUAAGGCCCUUCGGGGUACACGAGUAGCGAACGGGUGAGUAACACGUGGGUGAUCUGCCCUGCACUUCGGGAUAAGCCUGGGAAGCUGGGUCUAAUACCGGAUAGGACCACUGCCUGCAUGGGUGGUGGUGGAAAGCUUUUGCGGUGUGGGAUGGGCCCGCGGCCUAUCAGCUUGUUGGUGGGGUGAUGGCCUACCAAGGCGACGACGGGUAGCCGGCCUGAGAGGGUGACCGGCCACACUGGGACUGAGAUACUGCCCAGACUCCUACGGGAGGCAGCAGUGGGGAAUAUUGCACAAUGGGCGCAAGCCUGAUGCAGCGACGCCGCGUGAGGGAUGACGGCCUUCGGGUUGUAAACCUCUUUCAGCACCGACAAAGCGCAAGUGACGGUAGGUGCAGAAGAAGGACCGGCCAACUACGUGCCAGCCGCCGCGGUAA
rnacentral:rRNA from 1 species